AAGAAACGGGGUGUCGGGUGGACAAUGAUUAACUAAUCUAUGGCUUUUAAUCGGAAACGAAUAUUUUUUCGCUUUCACAACCAUAGGAUUAAUCUGUUCAUUUUCCAUUCGCACAUUAUUUGUGUGCUUUUUAGACAUGGCUGAUCCUUCUAAACUACGGUUUAGGAGGAUUUUUU
rnacentral:sRNA from 1 species